GACGAACGCUGGCGGCGUGCUUAACACGUGCAAGUCGAACGGAAAGGCCCUGCUUUUGUGGGGUGCUCGAGUGGCGAACGGGUGAGUAACACGUGAGUAACCUGCCCUUGACUUUGGGAUAACUUCAGGAAACUGGGGCUAAUACCGGAUAGGAGCUCCUGCUGCAUGGUGGGGGUUGGAAAGUUUCGGCGGUUGGGGAUGGACUCGCGGCUUAUCAGCUUGUUGGUGGGGUAGUGGCUUACCAAGGCUUUGACGGGUAGCCGGCCUGAGAGGGUGACCGGCCACAUUGGGACUGAGAUACGGCCCAGACUCCUACGGGAGGCAGCAGUGGGGAAUAUUGCACAAUGGGCGGAAGCCUGAUGCAGCAACGCCGCGUGCGGGAUGACGGCCUUCGGGUUGUAAACCGCUUUCGCCUGUGACGAAGCGUGAGUGACGGUAAUGGGUAAAGAAGCACCGGCUAACUACGUGCCAGCAGCCGCGGUGAUACGUAGGGUGCGAGCGUUGUCCGGAUUUAUUGGGCGUAAAGGGCUCGUAGGUGGUUGAUCGCGUCGGAAGUGUAAUCUUGGGGCUUAACCCUGAGCGUGCUUUCGAUACGGGUUGACUUGAGGAAGGUAGGGGAGAAUGGAAUUCCUGGUGGAGCGGUGGAAUGCGCAGAUAUCAGGAGGAACACCAGUGGCGAAGGCGGUUCUCUGGGCCUUUCCUGACGCUGAGGAGCGAAAGCGUGGGGAGCGAACAGGCUUAGAUACCCUGGUAGUCCACGCUGUAAACGGUGGGUACUAGGUGUGGGGUCCAUUCCACGGGUUCCGUGCCGUAGCUAACGCUUUAAGUACCCCGCCUGGGGAGUACGGCCGCAAGGCUAAAACUCAAAGGAAUUGACGGGGCCCCGCACAAGCGGCGGAGCAUGCGGAUUAAUUCGAUGCAACGCGUAGAACCUUACCUGGGUUUGACAUGGAUCGGGAGUGCUCAGAGAUGGGUGUGCCUCUUUUGGGGUCGGUUCACAGGUGGUGCAUGGCUGUCGUCAGCUCGUGUCGUGAGAUGUUGGGUUAAGUCCCGCAACGAGCGCAACCCUUGUUCACUGUUGCCAGCACGUUAUGGUGGGGACUCAGUGGAGACCGCCGGGGUCAACUCGGAGGAAGGUGGGGAUGACGUCAAGUCAUCAUGCCCCUUAUGUCCAGGGCCUCACGCAUGCUACAAUGGCUGGUACAGAGAGUGGCGAGCCUGUGAGGGUGAGCGAAUCUCGGAAAGCCGGUCUCAGUUCGGAUUGGGGUCUGCAACUCGACCUCAUGAAGUCGGAGUCGCUAGUAAUCGCAGAUCAGCAACGCUGCGGUGAAUACGUUCCCGGG
rnacentral:rRNA from 1 species